rnacentral:rRNA from 1 species
GAAGGCUAAAACAGUCAGGAUGUUGGCUUAGAAGCAGCCAUCAUUUAAAGAAAGCGUAAUAGCUCACUAGUCGAGUCGGCCUGCGCGGAAGAUGUAACGGGGCUAAGCGAUGUACCGAAGCUGCGGGUGCAUAGCAAUAUGCGCGGUAGAGGAGCGUUCCGUAAGCCUGCGAAGGUGACUCGAAAGGGUUGCUGGAGGUAU